AAAGGGACCUUUCAGCACCAGGCAUCCGGACAGUUCCAGGACUGCUCAGCCUUUGGAGGGAAGCCAUCCGCAGGAUGACUGGGGAAGGAAGGCCCAGCUGGAUCCAGAACUUUCCUGGUUCUCUCAUGGCUGGCUGAGGGCUCUGUUCAAGGGGUUCCUUCUGGCACCUUGGUGGAAGCAAGUAGAGUUGAGAACUAGUUAGACUCACUGGCAACAGCGCCCCCUGCAGGCGGCGGCAGACACGCCUGCGCCACGGCCAGCCGCGCCCCUCCGCGCCAGACACGCCCGAGAGCCCGAAGGUUGCCCAGCGCUCCACCUUCAGCCCGGCCUCGACCUCCCCUACGGCCCUGGUCGCUGCGGUUUUGGGUCAGAUGUAUCCCCGGGAACUGUGAAAAGAAGGGGUCAGAGAGGUCACCUCAUAUGUUCAGCAAGAAAUGAACUUUUAAGCUCAUCGCUGGCUCACUCUGCUUGCCUGUGUGUCACUCGUAUGAAGACUCCACUUCCCUUUGGGCCUCAGUUUGCUCUUCUGCAAGAUGAGAGUCUUGGACUGGAAGGCUGUGGACAUUCUUUCCCUAGCUGAUGUUCUUUGAUUUUAGGAAGUAUUGACAUCAUGUUGGGAGACCUGAGUUUGAGAACUCCAUUUGUUCCUAAUUACCUGUGACUCAGGCAUGCCGUGGCCAUGUCCCUGUAUCUCUGGGCCUAAAUUUCCCCAUUAGUAAAACGUAGAGACAAGACAAUCCCAAUCACCAGGGUGCUUUCGGGCUUGAAUAUUUGAUGACUGCAGAUGUCUGCAGAGGAAGAGACAACCUGAGGCUCAGCAAACUGAGCUCCUUUGAGAAUUUGUAAUGAACGUGAAUCUGCCAUCUUACUCAGAACAUCCCUGGCAUGAGGCUGCCAAUGAUAGACCCCCUGCGUGGGUGAAGGAGAGCAGUCACCUCCCAACAGUCAGCAGUACCUACAGGGGGAGGCUCACUCUCCUGAUGGUUGGGAGCCCACCUCCGAGGUCAGACGGUCCAAGGCUGAAUGCCAGCACUCCCCCUUCCCAGUGAGGCACCUCGGGCGAGGGAUCUCUCUGUGCCUCAAUUUCUGCCUCUGUAAAAUGGGGUGCUAAUAGUACCAGCUUCAUGUGGAAUUCCGUGAGAUGAGAAAACAUGGAAAAAACCUAACACCAUUUCUCACCUAGAAAACCCUCAAUAAACACAACUGUUACUGGUUA